rnacentral:rRNA from 1 species
AGUGAACGCUGGCGGCAUGCCUAACACAUGCAAGUCGAGCGAACGCACAAUAAGCUCUUUCCCUUGCGGGUGGCGGCUGGCGGAUGGGUAAGAAAUGCAUCGGCAUCUACUAUUACUGGGGUAACAACGUGGAGCCGUAUAUGAUAAUGCCUAAUACGUUCUACGGCUGGGUUCAGGAGAGCAUGGCACUUUUCGUGUUACAUAGAGCCGGUGUCGGAUUAGCUAGUUGGCGAGGUAAAGGCCCACCAAGGCAACGAUACGUAGCUGAUCUGAGAGGAUGAUCAGCCACACUGGAACUGAGACACGGUCCAGACUCCUACGGGAGGCAGCAGUAGGGAAUAUUGCGCAAUGGGCGAAAGCCUGACCGAGCAAUACCGCGUGAGUGAAGAAGGUCUUCGGGUCGUAAAACUCUGUUAUUAGGAAAGAAAAUCUGCAGGAGAAUAUCCGCCUAUUCUGACGGUACCCAAAGAGAAAGCCCCGGCUAACUACGUG